ACUGCCAGGUCAAAAUGUACAAACUCCAUUCUUCCACUACUUGCAUUCCCCCGACAUGCACCAAGCCAGCAAGGUAACAGAAGUGCCUGCACU